UACGUAGGGGGCUAGCGUUGUCCGGAUUUAUUGGGCGUAAAGAGCGUGUAGGCGGCCAGGUAGGUCUGCUGUGAAAACUCGAAGCUCAACCUCGAGACGUCGGCGGAAACCAUCUGGCUAGAGUCCGGAAGAGGAGAGUGGAAUUCCUGGUGUAGCGGUGAAAUGCGCAGAUAUCAGGAAGAACACCCGUGGCUAAGGCGGCUCUCUAGUACGGUACUGACGCUGAGACGCGAAAGCGUGGGGAGCGAACAGG
rnacentral:rRNA from 1 species